GACGAACGCUGGCGGCGUGCCUAACACAUGCAAGUCGAACGGAAACGUCCUGCCUUUGUGCGCUGCGCUGCUUAACAACGGGGGAGCUACACGUGAGUACGCAGUCACUGCCUUUGGGAUAUCUUAAUGCCACAUAGUCUCAUAGCGGAUAGGAGUUACCGCUGCUGGAUGGGGCUGGGUUAGAUUCGGUGGUUGGGGAUGGACUAGCGUCUCAUCAGCUUGAUGGUGUGCUAGUGUCAUACCAAGGCUUUGAACGGUAGCAGGCCUGCGAGGGUGACCGGCCACAUUGGGACUGAGAUACGGCCCAGCCUCCUACGCGAGGCAGCAGUGGGGAAUAUUGCACAAUGGGCGGAAGCCUGAUGCAGCAACGCCGCGUGCGGGAUGACGGCCUUCGGGUUGUAAACCGCUUUCGCCUGUGACGAAGCGUGAGUGACGGUAAUGGGUAAAGAAGCACCGGCUAACUACGUG
rnacentral:rRNA from 1 species